GCCUGGCACGGUGGCAUGUACAUGUAGUCCCAGCUACGUGGGAGGCUGAGGCAGGAGAAUUGCUUGAGCCCAGGAGUUCUGGGCUGUAGUGCGCUAUGCUGCUCGGGUGUCCACACUAAGUUUGGCAUCAAUAUGGUGACCUCCCGGGAGCAGGGGCCAUCAGGUUACCUAAGGAGAAGUGAACCCGGGUCGGAAACGGAGCAGGUCAAAACUCCUGUGCUGAUCAGUAAUGGGAAAUUCAAUCUCACCAACUGUUGUAUACAGAUAGAUGACCGGGGCCAGGUAGUUGAAGACCUUGUCAA
rnacentral:SRP_RNA from 1 species